rnacentral:rRNA from 1 species
CGAACGGGUGAGUAACGCGUGAGUAACCUGCCUUACACAAGGGGAUAGCCUUUGGAAACGAAGAAUAAUACCCUAUAAAACCAUAAAAGCACAUGCUAGAAUGGUCAAAGUGAUAGCGGUGUAAGAUGGACUUGCGUCUGAUUAGCUAGUUGGUGAGAUAAAAGCUCACCAAGGCAACGAUCAGUAGCCGGCUUGAGAGAGUGUACGGCCACAUUGGGACUGAGACACGGCCCGG